CAAUAGCGUAUAUUUAAGUUGUUGCAGUUAAAAAGCUCGUAGUCGGAUUUUGGCUGAGAACGAUCGGUCCGCCGUUAGGUGUGCACUGAUUGGUCUCAGCUUCCUGGUGAGGAGGUGUGCUUCACGGCCACUUAGUCACCGUGGUUACUUUGAAAAAAUUAGAGUGUUCAAAGCGGGCUUACGCUUGAAUAUAUUAGCAUGGAAUAACACCAUAGGACUCCUGUCCUAUUUCGUUGGUCUCGGGACGGGAGUAAUGAUUAAGAGGAACAGUUGGGGGCAUUCGUAUUUCAUUGUCAGAGGUGUAAUUCUUGGAUUUAUGAAAGACGAACUUCUGCGAAAGCAUUUGCCAAGGAUGUUUUCAUUGA
rnacentral:rRNA from 1 species